CCUAGCUGCUAAAGGCACUUACUCAAGAGUGAGUCCACAGGGAGACUGUGCUGCAAGAUCCAGCUCUCCGCACCCCAAGCAUGCAGCUUCCAACUCCACAAAUGCUGGAAUAGCAAAUGCUAGCCAAGACCGCUCAGCCAGCUGGUGUGAGGUCAGGGCUCUGCUUUGCUUUGUCCACCCACACCUUCUCUCUGCAGAGAGACAGAAAGAGUCUGGGAGAACUAAUGACAGGAUGAAUCAGAGGUCAUCACUGGGCAGAUAAAGCUCAAGAGAGAAACUAGGCCUACAGAACUGUCCUCUUGCUGUGACAUCCAGUCAACAUUGACCUUCAUUCUACGCCUGCUGCCCUGAUGACGGCACAUUAAUGAAGCACAAAGAGGAGUUAUUAUUGUCCAUUUAUUUUCCAGCCCCAAAGACAGUAAUAGAACCAGCCCGCCCUUCUCUGAGGAGGAGAAAACAAAAGCUUAUUAAAUGUCAAAAAUAUUUUGAGUACUUCCUGGACACCUUCAGGAGUCGAACCACCUGCAAAGGGUCACCAGGCCUGCCUCCAUUGAAAGCUUUCUAUUGGGAAGGGGCUCUGUCACCCAUUUGUGGAACUCCUUGAGUUCUGUUAUAUGGCUUCUUCA